GUCAACACCUGGUUAUUUACUGUUCGUUUAUAAUUGUUUACUAACCGUGUAUUAUGGUAAUUUCAUGGUAUAUUACGGUAGAUGUAGGUAGUUAAAUAGUUUUGGGUAAAAGAAGUAGCGCGUGAAAUCAGUCAAGUAGAACAAUAUCAUGCGAAUCGUUCACUUUCCACGCAGAGUUGAUAGCUUGAGCAGCAGCUUAGAUUAUUUUAGUUUUUAUUGAAAUUACUAAUGAUAGAAGGCACAUUCCAGUAUGUAGUAAAAGAUACAGCACAGAUGCACAGUAACAGCUCGGAGAGCGAUUGUGGGUGUAAGCACAGAUGUGAGACAGAUAUAUACAUUGUUGAAGGUCACUGAUAUCAUUACAUCACUGACCAAUACUACAAUACUACGAUAGAAUCAAUACAGAUAUAAAACUGAACCGGAGUUGUUGUCCAUUACAUCACUCAAGAGGUCACAAAAGGAAGACCACAUUCCAAAAGCAUUUGAUAAAGUCAAGUUACAAGGACUUUCAGAGGAAUUGGAGAUAAAGUUACUGACACACGAUAUGCAAGAUGCCGCAAUUUUGUUUAUGAAAGAAAACUUUGUUCCAUAUGAACCACUGGUUCAAAUGUUUGAUGUGCA